GCCUCAUUGGCUCAGGGGCAGAGCGUAUGUCUAGUAAACAGAAGGUCGCUGGUUCGAUUCCAGCAUGAGGCA
rfam:Angiostrongylus costaricensis strain Costa Rica genome assembly, scaffold: ACOC_contig0002960